rnacentral:rRNA from 1 species
GGAACGUUAAAGACGAUGACGUUGAUAGGUCGGGUGUGUAAGCGCAGCGAUGCGUUGAGCUAACCGAUACUAAUGAACCGUGAGGCUUAACCUU